rnacentral:rRNA from 1 species
UACGUAGGUGGCAAGCGUUGUCCGGAAUUAUUGGGCGUAAAGCGCGCGCAGGCGGCCUCUUAAGUCUGAUGUGAAAUCUUGCGGCUCAACCGCAAGCGGCCAUUGGAAACUGGGGGGCUUGAGUACAGAAGAGGAGAGUGGAAUUCCACGUGUAGCGGUGAAAUGCGUAGAUAUGUGGAGGAACACCAGUGGCGAAGGCGGCUCUCUGGAACGCAACUGACGCUGAGACGCGAAAGCGUGGGGAGCAAACAGG